AUUGAACGCUGGCGGCAGGCCUAACACAUGCAAGUCGAACGAGUGGCGGACGGGUGAGUAAUGUCUGGGACACUGCCUGAUGGCGGGGGAUAACUACUGGAAACGGUAGCUAAUACCGCAUACCAUCAGAUGUGCCCAGAUGGGAUUAGCUAGUUGGUGGGGUAACGGCUCACCAAGGCGACGAUCCCUAGCUGGUCUGAGCGGAUGACCAGCGACACUGGAACGGAGACACGGUCCAGCGUCCGACGGUAGGCAGCAGGGGGGAAUCUUGCACAAUGGGCGCAAGUCUGAUGCAGCCAUGCCGCGUGUAUGAAGAAGGCCUUCGGGUUGUAAAGUACUUUCAGCGGGGAGGCGUUACCCGCAGAAGAAGCACCGGCUAACUCCGUGCCAGCAGCCGCGGUAAUAC
rnacentral:rRNA from 1 species